UACGAAGGGGGCUAGCGUUGCUCGGAAUGACUGGGCGUAAAGGGCGCGUAGGCGGCUCAUACAGUCAGAUGUGAAAUUCCUGGGCUUAACCUGGGGGCUGCAUUUGAUACGUGUGGGCUUGAGUGGGGAAGAGGGUCGUGGAAUUCCCAGUGUAGAGGUGAAAUUCGUAGAUAUUGGGAAGAACACCGGUGGCGAAGGCGGCUCACUGGCUCAUUACUGACGCUCAGGCGCGAUAGCGUGGGGAUCAAACAGG
rnacentral:rRNA from 1 species